AAAUUCUCAAAGUAAAUCUUUUGUUAAUUCAACUGGUUUGCUUUGGACUUGGAGGUUUUUGCAGAUUUCACGUCUGCUCCUCUUAAAUUUAUUAGCUGGAUCUCAGUAUAUGCUUGGUUCCACUCGGCGUGAUAAGUAUCACUCGCUGAGGACACUGUAAAAAGUGGCCAGGAAAUGCAGAUGAACCGCUUCUAACAGUCUAUUAAGUUAGACAAUCAAUUUUAAG
rnacentral:misc_RNA from 1 species